GGAGUGAUGUCUGAGUGGCUGAAAGAGCUCGAUUGCUAAUCGGGUGUACGGGCAACCGUACCGAGGGUUCGAAUCCCUCUCACUCCG
rnacentral:tRNA from 1 species